rnacentral:rRNA from 1 species
AGCGAACGCUAGCGGCGGGCUUAACACAUGCAAGUCGAGCGCAUCUCCUUCGGGAGGUGAGCGGCGAACGGGUGAGUAACACGUAGGUAACGUACCCUCUGGUGGGGAAUAACCCAGGGAAACUUGGGCUAAUACCGCAUGUGCCCUUCGGGGUGAAAGACUUCGGUUGCCAGAGGAUCGGCCUGCGGCCCAUUAUUUAAUCCUAGUUGGUAGGGUAACGGCCUACCAAGGGUACGAUGGGUAGCUGGUCUGAGAGGAUGAUCAGCCACACUGGGACUGAGACACGGCCCAGACUCCUACGGGAGGCAGCAGUGGGGAAUAUUGGACAAUGGGCGAAAGCCUGAUCCAGCCACGCCGCGUGAGUGAUGAAGGCC